ensembl:lncRNA
AUGAAUCCAUUGAAUUCAUCUUCUAAAUCCACAUUGAAUGUCCAUAGAGCCUUGAUUUGGAGAAAGAGAACGGGGAACAGCAAAAUGGGAGUAUAUAGAGAGGUUCUGAUCCUCUCUUUUCUAGUCCAGUGGGCUACAGUAUUGUCCCAGGGUAUGAAGGAGAUGCCCGUCAACCAGUCAACAAUAGGAUUUCCGAGACUACCUGCAGACUUCAGGGAAAUGGCCAAAAAAAUGGUAACUUAGUACCACGCAAUCCUUACAUCUCAUACUGAAAAUACAGUCAUGUGCCAAG